AGAGUUUGAUCCUGGCUCAGAUUGAACGCUGGCGGCGUGCUUAAUACAUGCAAGUCGAGCGGUAACAGGUGUAGCAAUACAUGCUGACGAGCGGCGAACGGGUGAGUAAUGCUUCGGAAUCUACCUAGUAGUGGGGAAUAACUAAUCGAAAGGUUAGCUAAUGCCGCAUACGACCUAUGGGUGAAAGCGGGGGAUCGUAA
rnacentral:rRNA from 1 species